rfam:Neosartorya udagawae DNA, contig:Aud0043, strain: IFM 46973.
GGCAAGAUGGCCGAGUGGUUAAGGCGUUACGUUUAGGCCGUAAUGGGAAACCGCGUGGGUUCGAAUCCCACUCUUGUCA